GAAUUCUGAUAUCUUGAUAUGACUAGUAAAGAGUAAAUCAUUCAGGAGUGUCCACAGUGAUGGUCACUACUUCAAAAUGGUAGGUGCAACCAGGCAAUUAAAACCCUGCCCUUUUUAAUUCCAUGCAAUACAUAUAAAACACAUUAAAAAGGAGUGGGUCUGCCCAGCUGCACCCACCAUUUUGAGGUCAGUAACUAUUGCUGCAGACAUCCCUGAAACCAUUUGAGUACUAUAGUUUGAUAAAUAAUAAAACUUCAUUUGGAUAUUUAGAUCACUUCAUAUCCAUUUUUCAUGCAGAAUAUUUCAGAGAGUUAUUUUCAUUUUAAAAUUUCUAAUAUUUGUAUCCUACAUCAUGUAGCUAAGUAUGCUGUAGAAUUUUAUAUUCUUCUAUAUCUGUAUCAACCACUUGUCAUAUUGUUCACUCAAGCCAAACCACUAUGCUUGAAAGUAUAUCAAGCAAUAUAUGGCUAACAGUUAAAUUAUAUAGCCAUUCAGAUCUCAAGUAUGGUAAAGAAUCAAAGCUUUAUGGAGUGACAAGGCUAAUACAUUUCUUGUGGCAUUAGUUUU